rnacentral:rRNA from 1 species
CCUACGGGAGGCAGCAGUGAGGAAUAUUGGUCAAUGGGCGGAAGCCUGAACCAGCCAAGUAGCGUGCAGGAUGACGGCCCUACGGGUUGUAAACUGCUUUUAUACGGGAAUAACGCGCCUUACGUGUAGGGCUUUGCAUGUACCUUAUGAAUAAGGACCGGCAAAUUCCGUGCCAGCAGCCGCGGUAAUACGGGAGGUCCGGGCGUUAUCCGGAUUUCUUGGGGUAAAGGGGUGCGCAGGGGGUCUUUUAAGGCGGUGGUCAAAGCCCGGGGCUCAACCCCGGACCGCCGUUGAAACUGGCAGUCUCGAGUUGGAGAGAAGCAUGCGGAAUGCGCGGUGUAGCGGUGAAAUGCAUAGAUAUCGCGCAGAACUCCGAUUGCGAAGGCAGUAUGCCGGCUACACACUGACGCUGAGGCACGAAAGCGCGGGUAGCGAACAGGAUUAGAUACCCGUGUAGUC